UACAGAGGUGGCAAGCGUUGUUCGGAAUUACUGGGCGUAAAGGGCGCGUAGGCGGCCUUCUAAGUCAGACGUGAAAUCCCCAGGCUUAACUUGGGAACUGCGUCUGAUACUGGGAGGCUUGAGUGCGGGGAGAGGGAUGUGGAAUUCCAGGUGUAGCGGUGAAAUGCGCAGAUAUCAGGAGGAACACCGGUGGCGAAGGCGGGUCUCUGGGCCGAUACUGACGCUGAGGAGCGAAAGCGUGGGGAGCGAACAGG
rnacentral:rRNA from 1 species